AAGUAUUCGUAAAUUAUUAGGAACACAAACCUGUAGUAGAGUUCUCCCUCACAUCCACCAGGGCAAGCAACAACUGAUGGCAGACAGAAUUGAUGCCACAAGACUAUUCACUGUUCUGCUACACUUGUGUAUAAGUUGAAUAUUAGUCCACUGCUUUUGUGUUUGCAUACAAUAGUUCAUUAGCAAGGAAUGAUGAAUCAAUUAGAUGCGUGAAGUUUUCUUAUGAACAUAACUUUUAUAUAUUCUUCUGACCUGGCAUGUCAUUGCUUAAUAUUCUGCUGCACUAUAGGGCUGCUAUUUUAAUUUAUGCUAGACUUCCUCGGACGCCCUUUAUCUUCAUUUUUUUUGCUCUUGAGUUUUACCAUUGACAUGCCUUCUGCUACAUUCUUUGGGUGUUGUCCUAGUUUUAUUGUCAGCAUCAUGUACAUAUUCGUUCCAUUUUUUCAUGCCACAUAUCUACUCUGUAUUGGGGCUUAUGUGUUGAAUGUUACAGAGCUCUUUGUUUAGGUAGAUGAACUUAAUUGCAUCCAGUCCAUGUACCCAACGGUGUAGAACUUCGCACCAGAUUCUUCCAGUGCACAAAGUUUAGAUGAACUUGCUUAUAGCACUUAUUCGUUUGUUGAUUGAAUCCAAUAUUUGUAGCUGUAGUUGAUUAAAGAAAGGUGACCAGCGACAUAUAGUGAAUUUGCUUUGGUCAGGAACAGUGCAUGUAGAACUUAUCAGAUAUCUAUAACACCUAUGACAAAAUGCCUCUGUUACCUAUAUGAUACAUUCCCCUUAAUAAAAAGUCGAGUCAUAUGCCUCUGUUCUUCAAUUUCUCAUGUGAAUCUUCUGAUUCAGCCUAAGAUUCGGUUCUCUUUUUCUUUAUUUUGUUUCAUGUUUCUUUUGGUUCAUAUGGAUUUGUGUAGUGCAACUAUUGAAACGGACAGCACACAAGCUCCAAUUUCUCAGGGUGAGUUUGCUUGUAGCACUUAUUUGUUUAGUGAUUGGAUCCUAGAUUUGUCAGUCAAGUCAUCAGACCUGGGGCUGCUACAUGUUCACUUAGUGAAGAAUCAUCUAGAUUAAACUUAGAUUAUAAUUCUUUUUGUGCUUUACAAGGGAGCUUAGACUGCAAGGUUCUUAAAUUAGUUGUUGGAAGUAAUAUUUUCUUUCAAUAGAAUAGCAAUGGCAUCCUUUCAGUCCUAGCGCUUGGAACUAUGUGCAAGUGAACAUGUAAAUCACGACCAAAGACCAUCCCUGGCCCUGAUUGACACUUUAUUCGGUCAUCCAAACUCGACUGCAACAUCAUAAAAUUAGAAGGCAUAAUUAAUGCAUUUUAGUGUGAACUGGUACCGGAAGCUCACAGUAUGUUCUCGUCCAGUUCAGCUAUGCCAGCUACAGUAUACAUAUGUGUUACUUUCUAUAAUAAAGAAUAUUUCUGACUGUAGUGCUUUUCUGCAACGUCAUAAAAUUAGAAGGCAUAGUAUAUGAUUUGACAUUGUUAAUUGUCCACAAAACAAUAGUGUUUUUCUUUCUCA